rnacentral:rRNA from 1 species
AUGUUUGAAUCAUUGGGCAUCCUGUGCUCUCACAUCAUUGUUGUUCUAAAGAAUGAUGGAUGUAAUGAAAUUCCUAGCCAAUAUGUGUUGCAUAGGUGGUCUAAAAUGGCUGCACGACAUCUUUCUCAUGAUGCUAAUGGACAUGAGCUAGAAGGGUCAUCUACAUCUCUUUCACCUACCAUCAAGAAACUGUACUCAGAAACAUGCUCGAUGUUCAGCUCGGCAUUGCAUACAGCUAAGCAUUGUGAGGACAAGAUGAAAUACUUUCACAAAGUUCUUUCUAAUGCUCUUGCGCACUUAGACGCAGACGGUGCCGCUUGA